rnacentral:sRNA from 1 species
UUUUCUUAGGUAAGAAACGGUUGAACUGGAUUCAAUUUUUAUCACAGCUUGUGUAAGACUGCCUCUGUCCCUCCUCUCACAUGCCAUUGGUUAACCAGCAGACAGUGUGCUCAGGGGCGUUGCCAGCUCAUUGCUCUUAUAGCCUGUGAGGGAGGAAGAAAGAAACAUUUGCCAGCCAGGCCAGUGACAGAAAUGGAUUCGAAAUAUCAGUGUGUGAAGCUGAAUGAUGGUCACUUCAUGCCUGUCCUGGGAUUUGGCACCUAUGCGCCUCCAGAGGUUCCUAAAAGUAAAGCUUUAGAGGCCACCAAAUUGGCAAUUGAAGCUGGCUUCCGCCAUAUUGAUUCUGCUCAUUUAUACAAUAAUGAGGAGCAGGUUGGACUGGCCAUCCAAAGCAAGAUUGCAGAUGGCAGUGUGAAAAGAGAAGACAUAUUCUACACUUCAAAGCUUUGGUGCAAUUCCCAUCGACCAGAGUUGGUCCGACCAGCCUUGGAAAGGUCACUGAAAAAUCUUCAAUUGGAUUAUGUUGACCUCUAUCUUAUUCAUUUUCCAGUGUCUGUAAAGGUAGGCAGCUUGUGUGAUCAAAUUAAUUUCACUUUUGUUCUCAGCAUAAAUAUUGUUUUCAUGGAGAUUUGAACUAAGCUUUUUCUUAGGAGGACAUAGGGAUUUUAACAUGGAAGAAGAGCCCUAAACCUAACUCCUAAUUCCUUUCUAUGGGAUACAUUUUGAAUCCAUACUUCCGUGAUUGCAUGUCUAUAAGAAAAGAGAGUGCAGAACCCUCAAAGCCUCUGCCUCAAAAACUUGAGGAAAUGACAAUCAUCUCCUUGAAGGCACAAGGUCUUAGUUAUGACUCCUGAUUUCACCUCUUGGGAUGUUCACAGACACAGAGUUUCAUGAAGCUGUGGUGUCCAGAAAACCUGCUGCACAUAGGGUGCACAAUGAGUUUCCAUCUUCUUGCCUCUUUUCAAGGGGCAAGAACUCAGUCCAGGAGUGUCUUAAACUACAGACCUUCAUGGGAAACCUUGUUGCUUCUGCUUCCUCUCUUUUCACACUGGAGUUUUUAUUUUUGCUUAGCCAUGAAUUCUUGUGUCAUUCAUAACUUUUGUCUUAAGGUACUGAAAACUAGUCAGGCUAGUUAAUGCAAAAGGGUAUAUUAGAUAUGAUAAUGGGAAAUCAAAAGCCAGGGCUACAUUAAGAAUUGGAUAAAAACUCUAAAAGUAUAUCCUUUCUCCACCAUUAUCUCUGCUUUAUUACAAAAGGCUUUUUAAAUAUUUGUUCCAACCUUUUUCAUUGGUGGCAUUUAUGGCUUUAGAGCACUUUCAGGCCCAUGUUCAUUACCGUGAGCUCCUGUGCAUCUCCCAACUUCCAGACUAGCCUGGAAAACACCUCCAUUGACCAUGAUUGCUUCAUGGUUCUGUUCAUGGAACAUCACAUGUUCAGGGAGAUAAACAACUCUGAUAGCGGCCUCUGGGUCAAAAGUACAAUCCUUUUUUCCUGGAUAUCAAGGUAUUUUGCAGUUGAAGAGAGCUAUUGCCACAGAGAAAAUUAUAGCAGCAGAAGAAUGUAAUGUAACUCAAUGAUGACACUCCAUUAGGAACCAGAAAGAGGUAUUUAUUUAUACAUAUAAUAGUUGUAAGACAUUAGAGGAAGCCUGUCUUCUGAAAACAUUCCUUAUACCUUCAUAUGUAGCACACUUUGUACAUAUCACUUUUUGGAGCAUGGCAUCACCUACCUCAUGGUGGAUUAGUAUCCUUAAAUGUUCCUCAGAGUAUGGCUAUGUGUGGAGAAAUUGAUUUGCCACAUCACUAAACCGAUUCCUUCUACUUCAGCCAGGUGAGGAGCUGAUCCCAAAAGAUGAAGUUGGAAAAGUGCUGUUUGACACAGUGGAUCUCUGUGCCACGUGGGAGGCCAUGGAGAAGUGUAAAGAUGCAGGAUUGGCCAAGUCCAUCGGGGUGUCCAACUUCAACCGCAGGCAGCUGGAGAUGAUCCUCAACAAGCCAGGGCUCAAGUACAAGCCUGUCUGCAACCAAGUGGAAUGUCAUCCUUACUUCAACCAGAGAAAACUGCUGGAUUUCUGCAAGUCAAAAGACAUUGUUCUGGUUGCCUAUAGUGCUCUGGGAUCCCAUCGAGAAGAAAAAUGGGUGGACCCGAACUCCCCGGUUCUCUUGGAGGACCCAGUCCUUUGUGCCUUGGCAAAAAAGCACAAGCGAACCCCAGCCCUGAUUGCCCUGCGCUACCAGCUGCAGCGUGGGGUUGUGGUCCUGGCCAAGAGCUACAAUGAGCAGCGGAUCAGACAGAACAUGCAGGUGUUUGAAUUCCAGUUGACUUCAGAGGACAUGAAAGCCAUAGAUGGCCUAAACAGAAAUGUGCGAUAUUUGACCCUUGAUAUUUUUGCUGGCCCCCCUAAUUAUCCAUUUUCUGAUGAAUAUUAACAUGGAGGGCAUUGCAUGAGGUCUACCAGAAGGCCCUGCGUGUGGAUGGUGACACAGAGGAUGGCUGUAUGCUGGUGACUGGACACAUCGCCUCUGGUUAAAUCUCUCCUGCUUGGUGACUUCAGCAAGCUACAGCAAAGCCCAUUGGCCAGAAAGGAAAGACAAUAAUUUUGUUUUUUCAUUUUGAAAAAAUUAAAUGCUCUCUCCU